ensembl:lincRNA
UUUCUCUCUUUUCUCUCUUUUCUUUCUCUUUCUUUCUUGCUUUCUUGCUUUCUUAGAUGGGGUCAACUAUCUUGUCCAGGCUGGUUUCCAAUUCUUGGCACCAAGCGAUCCUCCUCUCUUGGCCUCCCAAAGUGCUGGGAUUACAGGCAUGAGCUACAGCACGCAGCCUAGUCAUAAGAAUAAUGGAUUUUAAACUAGGUACAUGAAUUUACCUUUAAAAGCAUUUCCAAUCCUCCUGAUCCGUAUGUGACCCCUUCAAGAGCAGAAUCUGUAUCUUCUACCCUCAGCAGCACUGAGCCUGGUGUUUUCUAUGUCAUUGGUACACAAUGGUGUUUGAAUAAAUGAUGGGCAAAUGAACUUGUCAGUGAACUUGUAUAUUAGUGGGAUCUUUCAGCUUGCUUUGCCAUAUGCUUCAAGGGAGAACUGAAAAAGGAGCUUCACCUGCACAUGACCAGCACCUGAAGAGGAGGGAUGGACAAGCACAGUCGUGCAUUUGGAAAGAGAAAUUCAAGGAAAUAUUAAACAAAAGAAGACAUGAAGUGGAAAAGUCAUUACAUUGUGGGGAAAAAUGACACAGAACAAUCAAAAUAGAGAGAUCACCUAAUCAUCUUACAGAGAAAGGAGCAUUUAAUCAUCCUGGCAAAAUGAUCAGGUUAUUUCCAGUGAAAUUACAUUAGUCCAUGUGGGGCAGGUCAGUUUAAUCUCUCAUCUUUCGUUCCUUUACUAGAAUGCCUACUUCAUAGGAUGUGAGGAAGGCAUAUAGCAGCUCCUGUAUUUAAUAAAUACUAGCUUCUCUUCUGAU